AAUGCAUUCAUGGCUCGGUUGUUAUAUAAAUAAAACUCAGUUUGAUUGUGUCUGUGAGUUGCUGACCAGCUGCAGUGAAGUAAAAUGAUCGUCCUACUUGUCGUCCUCGUCCUCGUCUGUGCCCCGGAUGUCAUGGCGCAGAAUGUUGGUGGCCGUGGUGGCCUUGAUGGACGUCGGAACCCUGGAAGAAUUGUGACACGAUCGAUUGCGUCAAAGCUGACGCCAGACAACACCAUGGAACGAAGACCAUUAGAAAAGCUUGGCUAACAUUUCUGUCGACAGAGCACACUUGGUCAGCUUGCCAACCUUCUUGUGUCCAAGAUGAAAGAGCACAAUUAAAUACAUUAAAAUCUA